GUUUCCAGGUACAGCUUCUACUACAGCAAAUUUUUGGGUUCUUUCCGCCACUAUUCUGUCACUUGCAUUUUUGUUUUGUUCUCCCGUACGUCACCCGAGAGCAAUGACUGUGUCGUGUGAUAAGACAAGCCACGGGCUUCAGAAGGGCAAAGCCACAACACAAUGAUUAUUGCUGGAGGGUGCAGUGGAGGGAAGAAUAAUAUGAUUUUUAAGAUGAUUCUCUGAAAGUGAUGUAUCAUUUGUGGAGUAGUACAGCAUGCUCUCAAGGACCAUUUCUGCGUCACGAAAAAAAAAUCUGUUUUCCCAAAUUACACAGCGAUUUGCACUUAAGACUGUUAGCUUAAAAAAAAAAGGGGAGAGAUUUACAGAGGAACAAGCAGAUAAAUAAUCCGUUUGCUACUGCUGAAAGCCCUCAAGUUUCUCUCAGUUUUUCAGAACACUCACAGCUGAGGAUCGUACGGACACGCGUCCCGAACCACGCAAUUCCCUCAGAACCCGCCCCGCCGCCACCGCCCGCCCUCCUCCUUUGUGUCCCGCCUUCUGAUUGGCCCGGCUGUGGCUGUAAGACGCGCGCGGAUUGGUCGGAUGGCGCGCGCUGUUGCCAUGGCUCUGUUGCUAGGGAGGCUCUGCCGUCUCCAGGCCCUGCAGGAAACAUGUAAUGAAUUAUGGAUGCUUGCUUUGCUCAAAGAGGGCCUGAUCUGUAAUGCAGAUGAGCUGCCAGGCCAACCCCCCCCACCUCCCCCACCCCCCUUUUCUUCUAGGUUCUUAAAAAAAAAGUUAAAAAAAAAAAUCGGGGAGGGGGGGAGAAAAAAAAAUCAGUUUUAAAUCAGAAUCUGCCGUUUACGCGUCCCCCACUGCAACAGAAGCUCCCGAAGCCGAUGGCAAUUCUCAUGCAAAGGCAGGGCCAGAGGAGAAGGAAAUACUUGAGUAAGAGCUCUGAGAUGAAGAUGAAAGAUAUCCGACCCUCCUGUGAUUCAGAAUAGAAUGAUGUCUUGUUUCUUGGAUUGUUAAACAAAAUGUUCUGUUGUGUAAAAACCAAUGAGCACUUAAAAAAUAAGAAAGUCUGUGAAACACUGCAUACAGGAGAAGAAAACACUUAUGGUUAGCUCUGGCAAUCAGACAGUCCCUAAGAGCUUCAGCUGCAAUGGUCCUUAUGUUUUAUAAUUUUCUAUUAUUAAAAUGUUUUCUAUUGAAGAAAAUGAUUAAGGCAAAAUUUUAGUGUCUAUCCCACCCAUUUUUGAAAGAGCUAUCGUCAAAUUCCAUUAAAAAAAAUUCCAGGCUAUAGAAUUAGAGAAUGCACAGUGCUUAAACCUGAGAAAUGUCUGAGAUAUGUUUAGCUGAAAAUGCAGUAUUAAAAUUUGUAUAUAUGA